rnacentral:rRNA from 1 species
UGGGGAAUAUUGCACAAUGGGCGCAAGCCUGAUGCAGCCAUGCCGCGUGUAUGAAGAAGGCCUUCGGGUUGUAAAGUACUUUCAGUCGGGAGGAAGGUGGUAAGGUUAAUAACCUUAUCAAUUGACGUUACCGACAGAAGAAGCACCGGCUAACUCCGUGCCAGCAGCCGCGGUAAUACGGAGGGUGCAAGCGUUAAUCGGAAUUACUGGGCGUAAAGCGCACGCAGGCGGUUGAUUGAGUCAGAUGUGAAAUCCCCGGGCUUAACCCGGGAAUUGCAUCUGAUACUGGUCAGGUAGAGUCUUGUAGAGGGGGGUAGAAUUCCAUGUGUAGCGGUGAAAUGCGUAGAGAUGUGGAGGAAUACCGGUGGCGAAGGCGGCCCCCUGGACAAAGACUGACGCUCAGGUGCGAAAGCGUGGGGAGCAAACAGG